CCGAAACUUGCUGUAAACAUCUCAGCCGGUAUCUGAUGCGUGCUUGGAUCUAAAAACGCAAAAAUCGGGCCUCCAUCCCGACUUCUGUUGCAACGCCGCCCGUCAGCACCGGAAGUCUGCCACUGGGACCACCCUACCGGCUUGGCUGACGUCCCCAGGGCCAGUGCUGUUCCGGAAACAUGCGAGGAGCAAUAAAUACUCCCCAAUGGUUGAGAGGGUUCGCAUGAGAGAAUUCUGAAUGGUUGCAUCACCGUCUGGUAUGGAGGAGUAACUGCACAGGAUCGGAAAAAGCUGCAGAAAGCUGUGAACUCGGCCAGAUCCAUCAUGGGCACUGGCCUCCCCAGCAUCCAGGGCACUUCCAAAAGUAAUGCCUCAAGAAGACAACAUCCAUAAAUGAAGGACCCAAUCACCCAGGACAUGCUCUCUGCCAUUUGUCUGUGGUCCAGGUAACGCUGUGCAAACCAGUGGACUAGUUUCUGUUACAGACAUUUGAAAGUGGUUAGUGUAACUCUUUAUAAUUUCAGCAAUUCAGGUUCA